GUCCGCGAGGACAAUUUGACAAUUGACCUCAAAUCAGGCUGUCGAAGGAUGAUUU
rnacentral:rRNA from 1 species